rnacentral:rRNA from 1 species
UACGAGGGGUGCAAGCGUUGCUCGGAAUUAUUGGGCGUAAAGGGUAGGUAGGUGGUCUCAUUUGUCAGGGGUGAAAUCCUUGGGCUUAACUCAAGAAGUGCCCCUGAAACGGUGAGACUCGAGUCCUGGAGAGGUGAGUGGAAUUCCCGGUGUAGCGGUGAAAUGCGUAGAGAUCGGGAGGAACACCAGAGGCGAAGGCGGCUCACUGGACAGGUACUGACACUCAACUACGAAAGCGUGGGGAGCAAACAGG